AUGGUGUGUACCAAAAUUUUUCUCGUCUGCACUUAAACCGUGACGUUUUUAAAGCCCAAAAACGUUUUUCAUCACCCGUCAGUAAUUUUUUUUUCCCGGAGUGAUAUCCUUUUCAUCAAUUAGGUAUUGAGUGUGCAAGCAAGAGAUUUGCUUUUUCAGAAAGAUUACCAAAAACUAUGUUGAAGAGGAAAGACUUUAAGUGUUACAAUUUAAAGAGCCAUUGAAAUGGUUUUAAAAGAAGUAAACAUGUGGGAAUCCCAUUUUAUCUACCAAGAAGAAGUUUGUAAAAGUGUAAAGACUAAAGCUACAUUGACAGAAAGAAGGACAUUUUUUUCAAUUAUUGGAACAGAUGUCUAGAAAAAAGUGCCUGCAAACUGAAAUGUGUUUUCUCCAGGUUAUACCAGGUUUUCACGGAUGAAGGAAUGGCUGUACUAGUUCAUUAUUUCCAUCGAUCAGCAGACAUUUAUGUUUUCCUGUCCUGUGUAAGAAAGUUUUCAAUUUACGUCCACAAUGAAUCUCCAAAUUUUUCCCCCAACCAAGAUCGACAAAACUUUAGCUAGGCCAUCCCAUAAUUGUUGACUCAAGAGAUUUCAUCCAGAAGUUGUAGUGUCUCAUUUAAACCACACAGAAAAAUCAUUUAAUGCCAGGUUUUCACAGAUAGGAAAGUGACACCUAAAGUGUUUUGCAUUAAAAAAGAAGAUUCAAUUAAGUGUAUGUAUUUAAAAGUUGGUUUAUGGGUUCCUGAUUCGAUUUUUGCAAAAACAUUUUGUAUGUGUAGAAUGUCGCAAAUGCUGUGUAAAAAUGCAAUGCCAACUUACCCCAAUUCAUUGGGCAACUUGCCCCUUGGGGCAAGUUGCCCAUUGAAGGUGUCGCAAUAAAACGUAUUUUUCGGCAAG